rnacentral:rRNA from 1 species
GACGAACGCUGGCGGCGUGCUUAACACAUGCAAGUCGAACGAAGAGCGAUGGACGCUUGCUUCUCUCAAUCUUAGUGGCGAACGGGUGAGUAACGCGUAAUCAACCUGCCCUUCAGAGGGGGGCAACAGUUGGAAACGACUGCUAAUACCGCAUACGAUCUAACCUCGGCAUCGAGGAUAGAUGAAAGGUGGCCUCUACAUGUAAGCUAUCACUGAAGGAGGGGAUUGCGUCUGAUUAGCUAGUUGGAGGGGUAACGGCCCACCAAGGCGAUGAUCAGUAGCCGGUCUGAGAGGAUGAACGGCCACAUUGGGACUGAGACACGGCCCAGACUCCUACGGGAGGCAGCAGUGGGGAAUCUUCCGCAAUGGACGAAAGUCUGACGGAGCAACGCCGCGUGAGUGAUGACGGCCUUCGGGUUGUAAAGCUCUGUUAAUCGGGACGAAAGGCCUUCUUGCGAAUAGUUAGAAGGAUUGACGGUACCGGAAUAGAAAGCCACGGCUAACUACGUG